UCUAAGGGCAGGUCCCCCACAUCAGGCCCCAUCCAGACCUAAGCCGAGGGACAGUUGGCUGGCUCCAGGCGGGGGCCUGAGCCUGGACUGAGGGCUUUCGCGGAAGGCUGCGGGGAGAGAAGGGGGAGGGGGUCUCGGCCCACAUCCCGCCCCCAAGAAGACACCUGACCUGUCUCCAAGUUGCGGGCCGGGCCCGUGGUGAGAGGGGCCUUUGUGCGCAUGGAGGAGGCUGCCUGGAACCCGGAGCCCUGAGCCGACUGGCUGCACCGCCCCGCGCCCUUCACUGCAAGCUGGGGAGCUUGCAAAUAAAGCCACAAACACAAAAUCUUGUGUGCCGGAGAGAGACUGCGGCGUGGGCAUCGGCGGAGAGCAGGUGCGGGGACCGGUGACGCUGGGCCCGCGCAGGAGCCGGGCAGCAGAACCCAGCUGGAACGGAGUCCAGGACACAGAGGAGGUUCUUGAUGACAGGAGACAGGAAGGUAGGCCCCACGGCCAUCACACACGAGUAGUCUUUCCUCCUCUGUGCUGGAGAGUGAGCCCAGGCACGGUCACUCGUAACUGUCCUUGAAGCAGUGGGGGUGGGUGAGCACAACGAAGACGAUGCAGAACAACACGGCUGUGCCGCUGGGCAGUCCCUCAGAAAGCCCGAAAGCCAGGCUCUGUGC